GGCCCGAAGCCAAACUGUCGCCGAUGGGCGGCUUGCCGCGAGGCUAGGCUUCGGGUCGCUC
rnacentral:sRNA from 12 species